AGCCCUAGAAAGAAGACGUUUCUUUACAGGAAGUCCGCUACAGCAAACUGGCAGAUCUGUGAAUGGAGUUUGGUGUGGAGUCAUGGCGGUGGCUCUGUCUGAUGCUAACAGUUAGCUAGCUGUCGGCACGUUAGCCGGUCAGCAUGAAGGUGAUAAACUAGCAGCAUGCUAACCGAUGCUAACCGCGGCUCCUGUUGCAGGACAAACCGGAGAACG